ACCUACGGGAGGCAGCAGUGAGGAAUAUUUGUCAAUUGUCUCUAGCCUGAACCAGCCAAGUCGCGUGAAGGAUGACGGCCCUACGGGUUGUAAACUUCUUUUGUCAGGGAGCAAUUGAGUCCACGUGUGGUCUUAGCGAGAGUACCUGAAGAAAAAGCAUCGGCUAACUCCGUGCCAGCAGCCGCGGUAAUACGGAGGAUGCGAGCGUUAUCCGGAUUUAUUGGGUUUAAAGGGUGAGUAGGCGGAAUAUCAAGUCAGCGGUAAAACUUCGGGGCUCAACCC
rnacentral:rRNA from 1 species